GGGUUGUGAGGUUAAGCGACUAAGCGUACACGGUGGAUGCCCUGGCAGUCAGAGGCGAUGAAGGGCGUGCUAAUCUGCGAUAAGCGCCGGUAAGGUGAUAUGAACCGUUAUAACCGGCGAUACCCGAAUGGGGAAACCCAGUGUGAUUCGUCACACUAUCAUUAACUGAAUCCAUAGGUUAAUGAGGCGAACCGGGGGAACUGAAACAUCUAAGUACCCCGAGGAAAAGAAAUCAACCGAGAUUCCCCCAGUAGCGGCGAGCGAACGGGGAGGAGCCCAGAGCCUGAAUCAGCAUGUGUGUUAGUGGAAGCGUCUGGAAAGGCGCGCGAUACAGGGUGACAGCCCCGUACACAAAAGCGCAUGUGCUGUGAGCUCGAUGAGUAGGGCGGGACACGUGGUAUCCUGUCUGAAUAUGGGGGGACCAUCCUCCAAGGCUAAAUACUCCUGACUGACCGAUAGUGAACCAGUACCGUGAGGGAAAGGCGAAAAGAACCCCGGCGAGGGGAGUGAAAAAGAACCUGAAACCGUGUACGUACAAGCAGUGGGAGCACCCUUUGGGGUGUGACUGCGUACCUUUUGUAUAAUGGGUCAGCGACUUAUAUUCUGUAGCAAGGUUAACCGUAUAGGGGAGCCGAAGGGAAACCGAGUCUUAACCGGGCGUUAAGUUGCAGGGUAUAGACCCGAAACCCGGUGAUCUAGCCAUGGGCAGGUUGAAGGUUGGGUAACACUAACUGGAGGACCGAACCGACUAAUGUUGAAAAAUUAGCGGAUGACCUGUGGCUGGGGGUGAAAGGCCAAUCAAACCGGGAGAUAGCUGGUUCUCCCCGAAAGCUAUUUAGGUAGCGCCUCGUGAAUUCAUCUCCGGGGGUAGAGCACUGUUUCGGCUAGGGGGCCAUCCCGGCUUACCAACCCGAUGCAAACUGCGAAUACCGGAGAAUGUUAUCACGGGAGACACACGGCGGGUGCUAACGUCCGUCGUGAAGAGGGAAACAACCCAGACCGCCAGCUAAGGUCCCAAAGUCAUGGUUAAGUGGGAAACGAUGUGGGAAGGCCCAGACAGCCAGGAUGUUGGCUUAGAAGCAGCCAUCAUUUAAAGAAAGCGUAAUAGCUCACUGGUCGAGUCGGCCUGCGCGGAAGAUGUAACGGGGCUAAACCAUGCACCGAAGCUGCGGCAGCGAACGUAUCACUUAAAGCGAUUCAGCGGGUUACGAUUGACGGAGCGAAGCGACGUCAAAGCGUAUACAAAGUCGAGUCG
rnacentral:rRNA from 1 species